rnacentral:rRNA from 1 species
CGAAGGAUCCAAGCGUUAUCCGGAUUCAUUGGGUUUAAAGGGUGCGUAGGCGGUUUUGUAAGUCAGUGGUGAAAUCCGAUCGCUCAACGAUCGAACUGCCAUUGAUACUGCAGAACUAGAGUACAGAUGACGUUGGCGGAAUGUGUCAUGUAGCGGUGAAAUGCAUAGAUAUGACACAGAACACCGAUUGCGAAGGCAGCUGACGAAACUGCAACUGACGCUGAUGCACGAAAGUGCGGGGAUCAAACAGGAUUAGAUACCCUGGUAGUCCGCACCGUAAACGAUGGAUACUCGAUGUUUGCGAUAUACAGUAAGCGUCCAAGCGAAAGCGAUAAGUAUUCCACCUGGGGAGUACGCCCGCAAGGGUG